UCAAGAACGAAAGUCGGAGGUUCGAAGACGAUCACAUACCGUCGUAGUUCCGACCAUAAACGAUGCCGACUGGCGAUCCGGCGGCGUUAUUUCCCAUGACCCGCCGAGCAGCCUCCGGGAAACCAAAGUGUUUGGGUUCCGGGGGGAGUAUUGUUGCAAAGCUGAAACUUAAAGGAAUUGACGGAAGGGCACCACCAGGAGUGGAGCCUGCGGCUUAAUUUGACUCAACACGGGGAACCUCACCCGGCCCGGACACGGGAAGGAUUGACAGAUGGAUAGCUCUUUCUCUAUUCCGUGGGUGGUGGUGCAUGGCCGUUCUUAGUUGGUGGAGUGAUUUGUCUGGUUAAUUCCGAUAACGAACGAGACUCCGGCAUGCUAACUAGUUAUGCGGCCCCGUGCGGUCGGUGCCAACUUCUUAGAGGGACUGGUGGCUCUCAGCCACACGAGAUGGAGCAAUAACAGGUCUGUGAUGCCCUUAGAUGUCC
rnacentral:rRNA from 1 species